UGCAAGUCAACGGGAUUCUAGACUUCGGUUUAGAUGAGAGUGGCGCACGGGUGCGUAACGCGUAUGCAACCUACCUUUUACAGGGGGAUAGCUCGGGGAAACUCGAAUUAAUACCCCAUGGUAUCAUAAAGCUGCAUGGUUUAAUGAUUAAAGAUUUAUCGGUAAAAGAUGGGCAUGCGUCUGAUUAGCUAGAUGGCGGGGUAACGGCCCACCAUGGCGAUGAUCAGUAGGGGUUCUGAGAGGAUGAUCCCCCACACUGGUACUGAGACACGGACCAGACUCCUACGGGAGGCAGCAGUAGGGAAUAUUGGUCAAUGGGCGAGAGCCUGAACCAGCCAUGCCGCGUGUAGGAUGACGGCCUUCUGGGUUGUAAACUACUUUUCUACAGGAAGAAAAAGCUUAUGCGUAAGCAAUUGACGGUACUGUAGGAAUAAGCACCGGCUAACUCCGUGCCAGCAGCCGCGGUAAUACGGAGGGUGCGAGCGUUGUCCGGAUUUAUUGGGUUUAAAGGGUGCGUAGGCGGCUCUUUAAGUCAGUGGUGAAAGCCCGCAGCUUAACUGUGGAACUGCCAUUGAUACUGGAGAGCUUGAGUACGGUUGAAGUAGGCGGAAUUUAUGGUGUAGCGGUGA
rnacentral:rRNA from 1 species